rnacentral:rRNA from 1 species
UACGAAGGGGGCUAGCGUUGCUCGGAAUCACUGGGCGUAAAGGGUGCGUAGGCGGGUCUUUAAGUCAGGGGUGAAAUCCUGGAGCUCAACUCCAGAACUGCCUUUGAUACUGAAGAUCUUGAGUUCGGGAGAGGUGAGUGGAACUGCGAGUGUAGAGGUGAAAUUCGUAGAUAUUCGCAAGAACACCAGUGGCGAAGGCGGCUCACUGGCCCGUUACUGACGCUGAGGUGCGAAAGCGUGGGGAGCAAACAGGG